AUUGAACGCUGGCGGCAGGCUUAACACAUGCAAGUCGAACGGUAACAUAAAGAAGCUUGCUUCUUUGAUGACGAGUGGCGGACGGGUGAGUAAUGCUUGGGAAUCUAGCUUAUGGAGGGGGAUAACUACGGGAAACUGUAGCUAAUACCGCGUAGAAUCGGGAGAUGAAAGUGUGGGACCUUCGGGCCACAUGCCAUAGGAUGAGCCCAAAUGGGAUUAGGUAGUUGGUGAGGUAAAGGCUCACCAAGCCGACGAUCUCUAGCUGGUCUGAGAGGAUGACCAGCCACACUGGGACUGAGACACGGCCCAGACUCCUACGGGAGGCAGCAGUGGGGAAUAUUGCGCAAUGGGGGCAACCCUGACGCAGCCAUGCCGCGUGAAUGAAGAAGGCCUUCGGGUUGUAAAGUUCUUUCGGUAGCGAGGAAGGCAUUUAGUUUAAUAAACUGGAUGAUUGACGUUAACUACAGAAGAAGCACCGGCUAACUCCGUGCCAGCAGCCGCGGUAAUACGGAGGGUGCGAGCGUUAAUCGGAAUAACUGGGCGUAAAGGGCACGCAGGCGGUGACUUAAGUGAGGUGUGAAAGCCCCGGGCUUAACCUGGGAAUUGCAUUUCAUACUGGGUCGCUAGAGUACUUUAGGGAGGGGUAGAAUUCCACGUGUAGCGGUGAAAUGCGUAGAGAUGUGGAGGAAUACCGAAGGCGAAGGCAGCCCCUUGGGAAUGUACUGACGCUCAUGUGCGAAAGCGUGGGGAGCAAACAGG
rnacentral:rRNA from 1 species